rnacentral:rRNA from 1 species
CCGCCGGACCCGACUGCUAUUUGGGUGAGAAUAAGCCAUGCGAGUUGAAUGGAAUUCCUAAAUUUUCCAUAGCAAACUGCUCAGUAACACAUGAUCAACUUGCCCUAUAGAGAAAAAUAACCUCGGGAAACUGAGGAUAAUGUUUCAUAGUUGAAAAGGCUUGGAAAAGUUUUUCAAUCAAAGGGAUAAAAAAAAUGGUUUUUAUUUGCUGUAGGAUAGGAUCGUGCUCGAUUAUGGUUGUUGGUGAGGUAAUGGCUCACCAAGCCGAUAAUCGAUAGGGGCCGUGAGAGCGGGAGCCCCGAGAUGGGUACUGAGACAGCGACCCAGGUCUUACGAGACGCAGCAGGCGCGAAACCUCCGCAAUACACGAAAGUGUGACGGGGUUACCCAAAGUGUUCAAUUUUGAACUGUGGUAGGUGAGUAAUGUCCCCUACUAGAAAGGAGAGGGCAAGGCUGGUGCCAGCCGCCGCGGUAAAACCAGCUCUUCAAGUGGUCGGGAUAAUUAUUGGGCUUAAAGUGUCCGUAGCCGGUUUAGUAAGUUCCUGGUAAAAUCGGGUAGCUUAACUAUCUGUAUGCUAGGAAUACUGCUAUACUAGAGGGCGGGAGAGGUCUGAGGUACUACAGGGGUAGGGGUGAAAUCUUAUAAUCCUUGUAGGACCACCAGUGGCGAAGGCGUCAGACUGGAACGUGCCUGACGGUGAGGGACGAAAGCCAGGGGAGCGAACCGGAUUAGAUACCCGGGUAGUCCUGGCCGUAAACGAUGCAUACUAGGUGAUGGUAUGGCCAUGAGCCGUGUCAGUGCCGUAGGGAAACCGUUAAGUGUGCCGCCUGGGAAGUACGGUCGCAAGGCUAAAACUUAAAGGAAUUGGCGGGGGAGCACCACAA